rnacentral:tRNA from 1 species
GGGCCAGUAGCUCAGCGGGAGAGCGCCCGCUUGGCGUGCGGGAGGUCAGGGGUUCAAUUCCCCUCUGGUCCACCA